CACAGCUCCCAGAUCCUAAGCUGCUUUUCUACACAGACCUGCUGAGGACAGAAGAGAGCUGCACACUGAUGAAGUUUAUGGCUGAAAGUUCAAUGAAGGUGUGGACUCUGCUAUGAGUCAGUGUGAGGACAGAGAGGAGGAAGUCCCUUCCUCUAAAACCACUCUGUGUGGGGAACAUGACAGCCAGACCAAAGCUCAGAGCUCAGAGCAGCAACCUGGACCCGGACCUGGACCCAGCUGUGUGUCCUUUUAAGAGUGACCAGUCAAAGGAUUUUCAUAUUAAUUUCAAGCACAGACAUGACAAAAAGAUCCAUCAGAGAUCAGACUGUCCCGAAGCUGAACCCAGCUGUGUGUCCAUGAAGAGUGACCAGUCUAUGCCUCAUCCUUAUAACUUCAAAGAUGGACUCCACUCAG